UGAAAUCUCGGGGCUUAACCCCGAAACUGCGUCUGAAACUACAGGUCUAGAAUCUUGGAGGGGGAAGGGGAAUUUCACAUGUAGGGGUAAAAUCCGUAGAUAUGUGAAGGAACACCAGAGGCGAAGGCGCCUUCCUGGACAAGUAUUGACGCUGAGGUGCGAAAGCGUGGGGAUCAAACAGGAUUAGAUACCCUGGUAGUCCACGCUGUAAACGAUGAAUACUAGAUAUUGCAGGAUUUGACCCCAGCAGUGUCGCAGCUAACGCGUUAAG
rnacentral:rRNA from 1 species